CUACGGGUGGCAGCAGUGGGGAAUAUUGCGCAAUGGGCGAAAGCCUGACGCAGCAACGCCGUGUGAGGGAUGAAGGCUUUCGGGUCGUAAACCUCUGUCAGAAGGGAAGAACGGGUAUUGGUCUAAUAGGCCUUUAUUUUGACGGUACCUUCAGAGGAAGCACCGGCUAACUCCGUGCCAGCAGCCGCGGUAAUACGGAGGGUGCAAGCGUGUAUUCGGAAUUACUGGGCGUAAAGCGCACGUAGGCCGCUUUGUAAGUCAGGGGUGAAAUCCCACGGCUCAACCGUGGAACUGCCUUUGAAACUGCAGAGCUUGAAUCCUGGAGAGGGUGGCGGAAUUCCUGGUGUAGGAGUGAAAUCCGUAGAUAUCAGGAGGAACACCGGUGGCGAAGGCGGCCACCUGGACAGGUAUUGACGCUGAGGUGCGAAAGUGUGGGGAGCAAACAGGAUUAGAUACCCGAGUAGUC
rnacentral:rRNA from 1 species